CUCACAGCCAGGCACUGUUAUGAACGGGGUGUCACAGCCAGGCACUGUGUUAUGAACAGGGUGUGGACAGGAGCCUCUGCCCACCCCAGCCCUGCGUCUUUCUGUGCCCAUCUCUGCAUUGUCAUUGCUGGGGACACCCAGAUUCGGCCUCACGGGGCUAAGAGACACACCCGUCCUUGAGUACAGCCCCCAGCCACCCUCUCUGCUGUGGGCAGAGGGCAGGUGAGGCACCAGGGUGGCACAGCACUGAGGAGACAGGUGAGACCCCCAAAGGGGCCUGGUGCCCCUGCUGGCGUGAGGAGAGCUGACCACUGGCCUCGGGCAGUGGAGCCCACGCCCCUCCCUUUUCAGUCUGUGCUCCUUGAGCAUUAAGGCCAUCCCCCCACCCUGCCCCCACCAAGUCUUGGGUGGGAGGGGGGUCUUGGUCCUGGGUGCCCAAGCCUGGUGUGCCCAGGGGUGAGGGGCUCAUAGAUGGGCCCAGCCCAUUCCUCAGGCUCUGCCUGAGGAAGCCAGGGGCCAGUGCGCUGGGCCUGCUGGAAGCAGCUGCCUCUGCUGUUUCUGGGCGCUCGUCAAGGACAGCAGAGAGCCCCGGAGGGACAGAAAGGUCUGGGGCCAAGGCAGGAAGGCUUUGUGAGGUACGGGUGUGGGAGCCUGCAGGGCCAGCACUUUGAGAGGCCGGUCCAGAGCAGCACUGCAGGAUGCUGGGGCAUGGAGGAGGGUGGGCCACAGCCCACCAAGGUGACAAAGCCGCCUUCAACGGCAGGAGGGCCGCUUCAAAGCUC
rnacentral:lncRNA from 1 species